ACUUUAAUUGAAGAGUUUGAUCAUGGCUCAGAUUGAACGCUGGCGGCAGGCCUAACACAUGCAAGUCGAGCGGAAACGACUUAACUGAACCUUCGGGGAACGUUAAGGGCGUCGAGCGGCGGACGGGUGAGUAAUGCCUGGGAAUAUGCCUUAGUGUGGGGGAUAACUAUUGGAAACGAUAGCUAAUACCGCAUAACGUCUUCGGACCAAAGAGGGGGACCUUCGGGC
rnacentral:rRNA from 1 species